rnacentral:rRNA from 1 species
GUGCACGGGUGCAGGAGGGUAGGGAGCGGGGAAAAGGGAGACUUUGGAGGGUGCGGCGUAGAAGAGAAGAGCGAAGGGACGACGGUACGCGGUUGGGGCGGCAGUGGGCAGCUAGGCCGACGCCGCGACGCGUGAAGGUGGGAGCAACGGGAGGGACCAGGUUGUUGCAGUGGACGAGGGAAGUUGAGGGUAGAGCUAGAAGUACCGGGAGUCUAGAUCGUCGGGAGCCGGUACUGCGACGGCCUAGACCGGCCGAACCGGAGCAGCGGGGUUGGCUAUCCACGAGCUGCGGCGAGGAGUCCUAAGUCCUUGCGUCGUCAGAAGAAGCAGUCGAGAUAUAGGGGGGUGGAGGAUGCGGUACAUAGUCGGUAGAUGGGAAAGAACUUCGAGGAGGAGUAGGUUCACCGGUGGACUACAACGGCUCACCUGGUGCGAGUGAGCGCGGAAGCGGGUGGUCAUGGUCCUAAAAGAGCACAGAAAGUUCAACUUAUGGGCCCUCUACCUCCUCUUAUCUACCACGGUACCGCCCGACGAUACCACCACUCCAAGUGCAAGAUGUCACUCCGGUACCUGUAGCAACAAACGUACACCGUCAACCCGGAUAGACUUCUCGUUAUUACAUUACGAAAACUCGAAUCCGUUUACUUCAACAUAAAUUUUCGCCUGCUCUACUACAAACAGUUGUGCUUUGACUUUUCCCUACACUUUGUUAUGACCUCCUUAGCACUAGAUACCGUUCCCACUACUACAGAUACCGCUACUAACAGUACUAGAUAUACCGCUACUCGCCAUACUAGGUAUACCACUACUUCCCACUACUCAGAUUACUAGAAAGAAGUCCUGUACGUUGUUUCACUUGAGACUUCAAAACCAGUUAAAAUCGAAUCCUUAUUACGAACCUGGCAAUAUAUAUCAAUGAUAAAACAAAACGUAAAGUUUGAAGGAUCUAUCUAGUACUACUUGUUACAUUAAACCUACGUGCAGUAAACCCGAUACCAUAAAACUUUCAACGCGAUUUAUAUUAUAUACAACGAACCAGU